CUUGGUCAUUUAGAGGAAGUAAAAGUCGUAACAAGGUCUCCGUUGGUGAACCAGCGGAGGGAUCAUUACCGAGUUUACAACUCCCAAACCCCUGUGAACAUACCUUAUGUUGCCUCGGCGGAUCAGCCCGCGCCCCGUAAAAAGGGACGGCCCGCCGCAGGAACCCUAAACUCUGUUUUUAGUGGAACUUCUGAGUAUAAAAAACAAAUAAAUCAAAACUUUCAACAACGGAUCUCUUGGUUCUGGCAUCGAUGAAGAACGCAGCAAAAUGCGAUAAGUAAUGUGAAUUGCAGAAUUCAGUGAAUCAUCGAAUCUUUGAACGCACAUUGCGCCCGCCAGUAUUCUGGCGGGCAUGCCUGUUCGAGCGUCAUUUCAACCCUCAAGCCCAGCUUGGUGUUGGGAGCUGCAGUCCUGCUGCACUCCCCAAAUACAUUGGCGGUCACGUCGAGCUUCCAUAGCGUAGUAAUUUACACAUCGUUACUGGUAAUCGUCGCGGCCACGCCGUUAAACCCCAACUUCUGAAUGUUGACCUCGGAUCAGGUAGGAAUACCCGCUGAACUUAAGCAUAUCAAUAAGCGGAGGAA
rnacentral:rRNA from 1 species